rnacentral:rRNA from 1 species
UACGAAGGGGGCGAGCGUUGUUCGGAUUUACUGGGCGUAAAGGGCGCGCAGGCGGCUCAUUUUGUCAGGCGUGAAAGCCCCGGGCUUAACUUGGGAAGUGCUUUUGAUACUGCAGAGCUUGAGUGCGGGAGAGGAUCGUGGAAUUCCAGGUGUAGUGGUGAAAUACGUAGAUAUCUGGAGGAACACCGGUGGCGAAGGCGGCGAUCUGGCCCAACACUGACACUGAGACCCGAAAGCGUGGGGAUCAAACAGG